AUUGAACGCUGGCGGCAGGCCUAACACAUGCAAGUCGGGCGGAGCAGCGGAGGGGGGAGUAAUGCUUAGGAAUCUGCCUGGUAGUGGGGGAGAGGGUUCGGAAAUGGGCACGAUAGCCGCUAACUAUCACAAGAGCAUAGGUCGGAUUAGCUAGUUGGUGGGGUAAAGGCAUACCAGGGCGACGAUCCGUAACUGGUCUGAGAGGAUGAUGAGUCACACUGGAACUGAGACACGGCCCAUACUCCUACGGGAGGCAGCAGUGGUGAAUAUUGGACAAUGGGCGCAAGCCUGAUCCAGCCAUGCCGCGUGUGUGAAGAAGGUCUUCGGGUUGUAAAGCACUUUAAGUUGGGAGGCGUUACCAACAGAAUAAGCACCGGCUAACUCCGUGCCAGCAGCCGCGGUAAUUC
rnacentral:rRNA from 1 species